AUUGAGAUGGCUGUUUUUCCUUGCUGACUCAACCAGAAAGUCUAUGGAUGAGGGGUGGACCUGCAUGUGUGCUCAAGAAGGAAAAUCUAAAGGUCAGGAACAAAACUAGAAGGAGGGACUCUCAAGGAGGAGUUAACACACCCUAAGGGUUCACAGUAUUGAUAUUUCCUUGAAAGGAAGAAAAAUCUACAAGAAACCUGAGGCAAUGAAGGGAUCUUACCUGCCAUUCAUUCAUGUUCCCCAGCUGUUGAAGAAUGAAACCCAGUUUUAGUCCUGGAGAUCUUGUCUUGUAUUGCUGUAUUUA